rnacentral:rRNA from 1 species
GACGAACGCUGGCGGCGUGCUUAACACAUGCAAGUCGAACGGAAAGGCCCUGCUUUUGUGGGGUUCCCGAGUGGCGAACGGGAGAGUAACACGUGAGUAACCUGCCCUGGACUUUGGGAUAACUUCAGGAAACUGGGGCUACUACCGGAUAGGAGCUCCUGCUGCAGGGUGGGGGUUGGAAAUUUUCGGCUGUUGGGGAUGGACGCGCGGCUUAUCAGCUUGUUGGGUGGGUAGUUGCUUACCAAGGCUUUGACGGGUAGCCGGCCUGAGAGGUGAGACGGCCACAAUGGGACUGAGAGACGGCGCAGACUGCUACGGGAGGCAGCAGGGGGGAAUAUUGCACAAUGGGCGCAAGCCUGAUGCAGAAACGCCGCGUGCGUGAUGACGGCCUUCGGGUUAUAAACCGCUUUAGCCUGUGACGAAGCGUGAGUGACGGUAAUGAGUAAAGAAGCACCGGCUAACUACGUG